rnacentral:rRNA from 1 species
AGAGCGAACGCUGGCGGCAGGCUUAACACAUGCAAGUCGAGCGGGCGUAGCAAGUACGUCAGCGGCAGACGGGUGAGUAACGCGUGGGAACAUACCUUUUGGUUCGGAACAACACAGGGAAACUUGUGCUAAUACCGGAUAAGCCCUUACGGGGAAAGAUUUAUCGCCGAAAGAUUGGCCCGCGUCUGAUUAGCUAGUUGGUGAGGUAACGGCUCACCAAGGCGACGAUCAGUAGCUGGUCUGAGAGGAUGAUCAGCCACAUUGGGACUGAGACACGGCCCAAACUCCUACGGGAGGCAGCAGUGGGGAAUAUUGGACAAUGGGCGCAAGCCUGAUCCAGCCAUGCCGCGUGAGUGAUGAAGGCCCUAGGGUUGUAAAGCUCUUUUGUGCGGGAAGAUAAGUGACGGUACCGCAAGAAUAAGCCCGGCUAACUUCGUGCCAGCAGCCGC